rnacentral:rRNA from 1 species
UACGUAGGGUGCGAGCGUUAAUCGGAAUUACUGGGCGUAAAGCGUGCGUAGGCGGUCCCGCAAGUCCGCUGUGAAAGCCCCGAGCUUAACUUGGGAACUGCAGUGGAAACUAUGGGACUUGAAUCCGGCAGAGGGGGGUGGGAAUGCCACGUGUAGCAGUGAAAUGCGUAGAGAUGUGGCGGAACACCGAUGGCGAAGGCAGCCCCCUGGGCUGAGAUUGACGCUCAGGCACGAAAGCGUGGGGAGCAAACAGG